AUCAGUUCAACUCAUUAGAUCAAUAACUGUUAAGGUAAAUUGAAUCAAAAUGUGAUCCCAAUUAAAUCAGUAUCCAAUUAGAUGCCUCUUGCACAUAUUUCCCAGAAGCUAGAUUUGAGAAAGCUGUUGACUUUGCUUCUGGAGGCAAUAGCCAAGUAUAGUUUAGUAGCCAAGUAUAGUUUAAUCUGUCAAAAUUUAAUUCCCUUUUUAAACUAUUCCAUCCUGGAAACUACCAAUCCUCAGUAGAAAACUUCUGUUUUUAAAAUUGCUUUUAUAAAGAUGGUUGUUUUCAAGUAUCUCAGACAAUACACUGCAAACCGUUAUAAAGUCCAACUCCUAAGAGCAGUUCAAUAAUAGCAUCACCCAGAGAUAAUCGCCACUAUGUGCUAUUCUGUCAAAGAUUGACAAGCUUCCAUCAUGAAAUAUAUCCAAACUUUGUCUCUUUAACCACAUGCUGACAGUCCUUACACCUCUUCAUUUGAAUCAAACAGAUGCCCACGAAGAUAUCUCAAUUUUGGAUAAGAGAAGCUCUGCAUGGAAGUGGACAUAGAGUUUUACAAAAAAAAUCUGAAGAAAAAAUCCUGCUUAUUUAAUACUCAUUAGUGAAAAUACACCAUUCUAGUUUUGUUGCUCCAAAGAUAAGGUAACUUAUGAGGCUGCUGUGAUAGAAAAAAACAUGCAGGAGCAGGUUGAUUGAAUUUUGGAAUUCUCUAAUAUAAAACACCCCAAAAGCACUUUAAUCUUUUUAAUUGUAAAACUGCCAAUGGUGGCUAAAAGUAUAGUAAUACUUUGGCAUCAAUACACAUUUGAUUUCAUUCUUAUUGUAUAUACACUGUAUAUACAGUACACAGGGCAGAGGUGUGCAGCUUGUCAGGGAUGUAAAUGGCUGUGGCUACUAGUUAUGGUAAAUGCAUAUUCUGUGACAAGCUUGAAGUAUUAGCCAACCCCACAUAGCUGUUAGAAUUAGGCACUUUUGAACUAAAACAAAUCAAACCGGGCCAGUAAUAAUUUGCAUGGUAGUUUUUAAAAGAAUAAUCCUGUUUCCAUAUGUUAUAGUAUUCCAAGAAAUUGGGAGUCCCAAUACAAUUUAAUAAAAGAAAACAAGUGAAAAUGCCAAAUUCCAGCCAAGACAAAGUGUACCUAUUGCACCUGAAGAACCAAUUUGAAGUAGUGGUUAAGGGUUAAGGCACCAGGUUACAAACUGGUAGGUCGUGAGUUCUAGUCCUACCAUUGGUAUAAAGUCAGGUAAGUGACCUUGGGCCAGUCACUCUCAGCCCAAGGCAAUUCUCAGCCCACUUCUGAAAUCUUGCCAAGAAAACUGAAGGGGACUUGACCCAGCAGUUGCCAGGAAUUAGUAACAACUUGAAGGAACACACACACACACAAAAUCUGCACCUGAAGAUUCAGAUAUGCUGUACACAGGAAAGGACAUUGACCUGCCAAAUGUUGGUGAUAUAUGACCGACUUAUCCCUGUAUUUUCACUAAAAGAAACCAUAAAUAUUGUAAAGGGUAUAAAGAGUGAGUACUUAAUCAAACUUGUAUUACAUACAAAAUUGGGAAACUGUCUCAAAUGUUCAUGUUAAUUUCCCUAUGGGAAACUAUUUUGCUACUUCCAAGUGAUUCGAUAGUAUGAGGUCUAGCCCUUAAAUUACCUAAAACAGCAAUACUGUUUACUGAAUCUGCACUACUAUUAAUCGUUUCAUAGUUCCCAUCACCAAUCUCUUUCCACUUAUGACUGUAUAACUAUAACUUGUUGCUGGCAAUCCUUAUGAUUUAUAUUGAUAUAUUGACCAUCAAUUGUGUUGUAAAUGUUGUACCUUGAUGAACGUACACUGAGAGCAUAUGCACCAA